AUUGAACGCUGGCGGCAGGCCUAACACAUGCAAGUCGAACGGUAACAGGAAACAGCUUGCUGUUUCGCUGACGAGUGGCGGACGGGUGAGUAAUGUCUGGGAAACUGCCUGAUGGAGGGGGAUAACUACUGGAAACGGUAGCUAAUACCGCAUAACGUCGCAAGACCAAAGAGGGGGGCCCUCGGGCCUCUUGCCAUCGGAUGUGCCCAGAUGGGAUUAGCUUGUUGGUGGGGUAACGGCUCACCAAGGCGACGAUCCCUAGCUGGUCUGAGAGGAUGACCAGCCACACUGGAACUGAGACACGGUCCAGACUCCUACGGGAGGCAGCAGUGGGGAAUAUUGCACAAUGGGCGCAAGCCUGAUGCAGCCAUGCCGCGUGUAUGAAGAAGGCCUUCGGGUUGUAAAGUACUUUCAGCGGGGAGGAAGGGAGUAAAGUUAAUACCUUGGCUCAUUGACGUUACCCGCAGAAGAAGCACCGGCUAACUCCGUG
rnacentral:rRNA from 1 species